rnacentral:rRNA from 1 species
UAGUCCGUACGAGCGAACCCUACCGCUAGUUGCUACUACUAUUCUAUGAAUAGUGGGGCGAAUUAGUGGGACCGCCACAGUUAAUGUGGAGGAAGGAAGGGGCUACGGCAGGUCAGUAUGCCCCGAAACUCUGGGGCCACACGCGGGCUGCAAUGGUAGCCACAAUAGGUUCCAAAGCUGAAAAGCGGAGGCAAUCCCUAAAAAGCUACCUCAGUUAUGACUGAGGGCUGUAACUCGCCCUCACGAAUAUGGAAUCCCUAGUAAUUGCGUGUCAUUAUCGCGCAGUGAAUACGUCCCUGCUCCUU